rnacentral:rRNA from 1 species
UGGGGAAUAUUGCACAAUGGGGGAAACCCUGAUGCAGCGACGCCGCGUGAACGAAGAAGGUAUUCGUAUCGUAAAGUUCUGUCCUAUGGGAAGAUAAUGACAGUACCAUAGAAGAAAGCUCCGGCUAAAUACGUGCCAGCUGCCGCGGUAAUACGUAUGGAGCGAGCGUUGUCCGGAAUUAUUGGGCGUAAAGGGUACGCAGGCGGUUUAAUAAGUCGAAUGUUAAAGAUCGGGGCUCAACCCCGCAAAGCAUUGGAAACUGAUAAACUUGAGUAGUGGAGAGGAAAGUGGAAUUCCUAGUGUAGUGGUGAAAUACGUAGAUAUUAGGAGGAAUACCAGUAGCGAAGGCGACUUUCUGGACACAAACUGACGCUGAGGUACGAAAGCGUGGGGAGCAAACAGG